rfam:Melipona quadrifasciata isolate 0111107301 unplaced genomic scaffold scaffold227, whole genome shotgun sequence.
ACCAACGUUCAUACCGCACUGAAUGCACUCGUUCUCGUCCGAUCACGAAAGUUAAGCAGUGCUGGGCACGGAUAGUACUUAGAUGGGUGACCGCUUGGGAACUCCGUGUGAUGUUGGUU